rnacentral:rRNA from 1 species
CUAAGAAUAUUCCGCAAUGGACGGAAGUCUGACGGAGCGACGCCGCGUGGAUGACGAAGGCCGAAAGGUUGUAAAGUUCUUUUGCUGGGGAAGAAUAACCGCAGGAGGGAAUGCCUGUGGGAUGACAAGAACCGGCGAAUAAGCCCCGGCCAACUACGUGCCAGCAGCCGCGGUAACACGUAGGGGGGCCGAGCGUUGUUCGGAAUUACUGGGCGUAAAGGGCAUGUAGGCGGCUUGGAAAGCCUGGCGUGAAAGUCUGCAGCUUAACUGCAGGGGUGCGCUGGGAACUGCUGAGCUUGAGUGACGGAGAGGGAGCUGGAAUUCCUGGUGUAGGGGUGAAAUCUGUAGAUAUCAGGAAGAACACCGAUGGCGAAGGCAAGCUCCUGGCCGAUGACUGACGCUGAGGUGCGAAAGUGUGGGGAUCAAACAGGAUUAGAUACCCUGGUAGUCCACACAGUCAACGAUGUGCACUAGGUGCUGGGGCGGUAGCUUCGGUGCCGGAGCGAACGUGGUAAGUGCACCGCCUGGGGAGUAUGCUCGCAAGGGUGAAACUCAAUGAAUUGACGGGGGUCAUAGCU